AUUGAACGCUGGCGGCAGGCCUAACACAUGCAAGUCGAGCGGAUGAAGGGAGCUUGCUCCUGGAUUCAGCGGCGGACGGAUGAGUAAUGCCUAGGAAUCUGCCUGGUAGUGGGGGAUAACGUCCGGAAACGGGCGCUAAUACCGCAUACGUCCUGAGGGAGAAAGUGGGGGAUCUUCGGACCUCACGCUAUCAGAUGAGCCUAGGUCGGAUUAGCUAGUUGGUGGGGUAAAGGCCUACCAAGGCGACGAUCCGUAACUGGUCUGAGAGGAUGAUCAGUCACCCUGGAACUGGGACACGGUCCAGACUCCUACGGGAGGCAGCAGUGGGGAAUAUUGGACAAUGGGCGAAAGCCUGAUCCAGCCAUGCCGCGUGUGUGAAGAAGGUCUUCGGAUUGUAAAGCACUUUAAGUUGGGAGGAAGGGCAGUAAGUUAAUACCUUGCUGUUUUGACGUUACCAACAGAAUAAGCACCGGCUAACUUCGUG
rnacentral:rRNA from 1 species